GAUGAACGCUGGCGGCGUGCUUAACACAUGCAAGUCGAACGGAAAGGCCCAAGCUUGCUUGGGUACUCGAGUGGCGAACGGGUGAGUAACACGUAGGUGAUCUGCCCUGCACUUCGGGAUAAGCCUGGGAAACUGGGUCUAAUACCGGAUAGGACCACAUUUUGGAUGGUGUGGUGGAAAGUUUUUCGGUGCGGGAUGAGCUCGCGGCCUAUCAGCUUGUUGGUGGGGUAAUGGCCUACCAAGGCGUCGACGGGUAGCCGGCCUGAGAGGGUGUACGGCCACAUUGGGACUGAGAUACGGCCCAGACUCCUACGGGAGGCAGCAGUGGGGAAUAUUGCACAAUGGGCGCAAGCCUGAUGCAGCGACGCCGCGUGGGGGAUGACGGCCUUCGGGUUGUAAACUCCUUUCGCUAGGGACGAAGCGCAAGUGACGGUACCUGGAGAAGAAGCACCGGCUAACUACGUG
rnacentral:rRNA from 1 species